AGCAGUCGCCACGGUAAUACAGAGGGUGCGAGCGUUAAUCGGAUUUACUGGGCGUAAAGCGUGCGUAGGCGGCUUCUUAAGUCGGAUGUGAAAUCCCUGAGCUUAACUUAGGAAUUGCAUUCGAUACUGGGAAGCUAGAGUAUGGGAGAGGAUGGUAGAAUUCCAGGUGUAGCGGUGAAAUGCGUAGAGAUCUGGAGGAAUACCGAUGGCGAAGGCAGCCAUCUGGCCUAAUACUGACGCUGAGGUACGAAAGCAUGGGGAGCAAACAGGAUUAGAUACCCCUGUAGUCCUGUCUCUUAUACA
rnacentral:rRNA from 1 species